UACGUAGGGUGCAAGCGUUAAUCGGAAUUACUGGGCGUAAAGCGUGCGCAGGCGGUCUUGCAAGACAGAUGUGAAAUCCCCGGGCUUAACCUGGGAACUGCAUUUGGGACUGCAAGGCUGGAGUACGGCAGAGGGAGGUGGAAUUCCACGUGUAGCAGUGAAAUGCGUAGAGAUGUGGAGGAACACCGAUGGCGAAGGCAGCCUCCUGGGCUAGUACUGACGCUCAUGCACGAAAGCGUGGGGAGCAAACAGG
rnacentral:rRNA from 1 species